AUAACUUAUAUUCCAUACUUUUAUAAUUAUUUAAAACUAUGAUAAUAAAUUUACUGCUUUUGCAGUUUUAAAUAUUUCGUACUAAUAACAAGUAACAUCGAAUUUGAAUGUCUUCAAGGACGAAGAUAUAGACUAUGCGUAACCGUUUAAAAAUUAAAUACUGUAUUAAUAUCAUUCAUUACUUUCAUUGUUACGUUAUCGUGACGUCAAUUAACAGUUUAUCAACAACCCUUGUUGCGUCAUCGUUACAAACAAUCAGCGCGUCUAUGACAUCAUUAGAUCACUCUGAAGGAUUUAAAUGAAGACAUUUUCGUUGCUAUGCCAAAGUGUUCGACCCUUGAUACGAUCUCGAUCCAGGAUAACGUAUGUUACUCGGAGGUCGAGAAAAAUCUCAAUGCACAGUUUGUUCCCAGGCCAACAGCAAACGAUGAUGAAACCUUUCCGGAACAGACAACAGAAAAGAUAAAAUAUUAUAUUUUAUAUAUACCGGUAAAUAAAGUACGUGUAUGUAUGUAUAUGUAUAUGUAUGUAUAUGUUUGUAUGUAUAUAUACGUAAAUUUAUUUUAACUUUAUUUCAUCAUUUUAAACUAAUUAUUUAUUUUUAAUCUGUCAUAUAGGGUUUAUAUUUUCCCUAAUAUUUAAUUAAAUAAAAC
rnacentral:lncRNA from 1 species